AGACCAUGGUGUGGAUAUCAUCUUUGCAAUUCCUUAAACCUUUCUUGCGUUUCAUGCAAAGAUUCACCGUCAAUUUGAACAAAACUAGUAAUAUCAUUCCUUAGUUU